GGGUUGUGAGGUUAAGCGACUAAGCGUACACGGUGGAUGCCCUGGCAGUCAGAGGCGAUGAAGGACGUGCUAAUCUGCGAUAAGCGUCGGUAAGGUGAUAUGAACCGUUAUAACCGGCGAUUUCCGAAUGGGGAAACCCAGUGUGUUUCGACACACUAUCAUUAACUGAAUCCAUAGGUUAAUGAGGCGAACCGGGGGAACUGAAACAUCUAAGUACCCCGAGGAAAAGAAAUCAACCGAGAUUCCCCCAGUAGCGGCGAGCGAACGGGGAGGAGCCCAGAGCCUGAAUCAGUGUGUGUGUUAGUGGAAGCGUCUGGAAAGGCGCGCGAUACAGGGUGACAGCCCCGUACACAAAAAUGCACAUACUGUGAGCUCGAUGAGUAGGGCGGGACACGUGGUAUCCUGUCUGAAUAUGGGGGGACCAUCCUCCAAGGCUAAAUACUCCUGACUGACCGAUAGUGAACCAGUACCGUGAGGGAAAGGCGAAAAGAACCCCGGCGAGGGGAGUGAAAAAGAACCUGAAACCGUGUACGUACAAGCAGUGGGAGCCUCUUUAUGGGGUGACUGCGUACCUUUUGUAUAAUGGGUCAGCGACUUAUAUUCUGUAGCAAGGUUAACCGAAUAGGGGAGCCGAAGGGAAACCGAGUCUUAACUGGGCGUUAAGUUGCAGGGUAUAGACCCGAAACCCGGUGAUCUAGCCAUGGGCAGGUUGAAGGUUGGGUAACACUAACUGGAGGACCGAACCGACUAAUGUUGAAAAAUUAGCGGAUGACUUGUGGCUGGGGGUGAAAGGCCAAUCAAACCGGGAGAUAGCUGGUUCUCCCCGAAAGCUAUUUAGGUAGCGCCUCGUGAAUUCAUCUCCGGGGGUAGAGCACUGUUUCGGCAAGGGGGUCAUCCCGACUUACCAACCCGAUGCAAACUGCGAAUACCGGAGAAUGUUAUCACGGGAGACACACGGCGGGUGCUAACGUCCGUCGUGAAGAGGGAAACAACCCAGACCGCCAGCUAAGGUCCCAAAGUCAUGGUUAAGUGGGAAACGAUGUGGGAAGGCCCAGACAGCCAGGAUGUUGGCUUAGAAGCAGCCAUCAUUUAAAGAAAGCGUAAUAGCUCACUGGUCGAGUCGGCCUGCGCGGAAGAUGUAACGGGGCUAAACCAUGCACCGAAGCUGCGGCAGCGACGCUUAUGCGUUGUUGGGUAGGGGAGCGUUCUGUAAGCCUGCGAAGGUGUGCUGUGAGGCAUGCUGGAGGUAUCAGAAGUGCGAAUGCUGACAUAAGUAACGAUAAAGCGGGUGAAAAGCCCGCUCGCCGGAAGACCAAGGGUUCCUGUCCAACGUUAAUCGGGGCAGGGUGAGUCGACCCCUAAGGCGAGGCCGAAAGGCGUAGUCGAUGGGAAACAGGUUAAUAUUCCUGUACUUGGUGUUACUGCGAAGGGGGGACGGAGAAGGCUAUGUUGGCCGGGCGACGGUUGUCCCGGUUUAAGCGUGUAGGCUGGUUUUCCAGGCAAAUCCGGAAAAUCAAGGCUGAGGCGUGAUGACGAGGCACUACGGUGCUGAAGCAACAAAUGCCCUGCUUCCAGGAAAAGCCUCUAAGCAUCAGGUAACAUCAAAUCGUACCCCAAACCGACACAGGUGGUCAGGUAGAGAAUACCAAGGCGCUUGAGAGAACUCGGGUGAAGGAACUAGGCAAAAUGGUGCCGUAACUUCGGGAGAAGGCACGCUGAUAUGUAGGUGAAGCGACUUGCUCGUGGAGCUGAAAUCAGUCGAAGAUACCAGCUGGCUGCAACUGUUUAUUAAAAACACAGCACUGUGCAAACACGAAAGUGGACGUAUACGGUGUGACGCCUGCCCGGUGCCGGAAGGUUAAUUGAUGGGGUUAGCGGUAACGCGAAGCUCUUGAUCGAAGCCCCGGUAAACGGCGGCCGUAACUAUAACGGUCCUAAGGUAGCGAAAUUCCUUGUCGGGUAAGUUCCGACCUGCACGAAUGGCGUAAUGAUGGCCAGGCUGUCUCCACCCGAGACUCAGUGAAAUUGAACUCGCUGUGAAGAUGCAGUGUACCCGCGGCAAGACGGAAAGACCCCGUGAACCUUUACUAUAGCUUGACACUGAACAUUGAGCCUUGAUGUGUAGGAUAGGUGGGAGGCUUUGAAGUGUGGACGCCAGUCUGCAUGGAGCCGGCCUUGAAAUACCACCCUUUAAUGUUUGAUGUUCUAACGUUGGCCCCUGAUCGGGGUUGCGGACAGUGUCUGGUGGGUAGUUUGACUGGGGCGGUCUCCUCCUAAAGAGUAACGGAGGAGCACGAAGGUUGGCUAAUCCUGGUCGGACAUCAGGAGGUUAGUGCAAUGGCAUAAGCCAGCUUGACUGCGAGCGUGACGGCGCGAGCAGGUGCGAAAGCAGGUCAUAGUGAUCCGGUGGUUCUGAAUGGAAGGGCCAUCGCUCAACGGAUAAAAGGUACUCCGGGGAUAACAGGCUGAUACCGCCCAAGAGUUCAUAUCGACGGCGGUGUUUGGCACCUCGAUGUCGGCUCAUCACAUCCUGGGGCUGAAGUAGGUCCCAAGGGUAUGGCUGUUCGCCAUUUAAAGUGGUACGCGAGCUGGGUUUAGAACGUCGUGAGACAGUUCGGUCCCUAUCUGCCGUGGGCGCUGGAGAACUGAGGGGGGCUGCUCCUAGUACGAGAGGACCGGAGUGGACGCAUCACUGGUGUUCGGGUUGUCAUGCCAAUGGCACUGCCCGGUAGCUAAAUGCGGAAGAGAUAAGUGCUGAAAGCAUCUAAGCACGAAACUUGCCCCGAGAUGAGUUCUCCCUGAGACUUUAAGUCUCCUGAAGGAACGUUGAAGACGACGACGUUGAUAGGCCGGGUGUGUAAGCGCAGCGAUGCGUUGAGCUAACCGGUACUAAUGAACCGUGAGGCUUAACCUUACAACGCCGAAGGUGUUU
rnacentral:rRNA from 1 species